CGGCGAGUAGCGCAGCUUGGUAGCGUAACUUGUUUGGGUCCAGUGGGUCGGAGGUUCGAAUCCUCUCUCGCCGACCA
rnacentral:tRNA from 1 species